UAGGUCUAGGGCUGGCUCAAAGGGAAGCAAAGACCCUAAUCUGUCUAACACCCUCAUUCCAUUCACUUUCAGAAAAACAGUUUUCCUUAUUCUUUUCUAGAACUGCUGUCGUUUCUUUGCUAGGGUUUGGUACCACUUUAGUCAAGCAAGCUCAACCUCAUUUUGUCCUACUCCAUCUUACAAGUCCAUUCGUAAAGCUGCCGUGCUCCAUUGUUUAAAGUCGAGGCAUUUUCUAGCUAUUUCUAGAUGCGAGAAACCCUCGUGCUCAACAGGAGAAUGGUGGCUUCGCUGCGUAGCCUGCCCGGGGUGGAUUUCGCUUAUUGGGCUUUUCUUUUUGGGCGAUGGCCCAUGUAUUGGCUUGUCUUUUAAAUCUCAUUUUGAUUACCGUUGAACUUUGUAUCUUGUCUUGUUUUGACAUCGUAGUAUGUCUUGAAUAUUGUAAGGAGUGGUGCUUAUACUC